rnacentral:rRNA from 1 species
AGCAGCCGCGGUAAUUCCAGCUCCAAUAGCGUAUAUUAAAGUUGUUGCGGUAAAAAAGCCCGUAGUUGGAUUUCUGUUGAGGACGACCGGUCCGUACCAUGUACGCGCAUCUGGUUCGGCCUCGGCAUCCUCUCGAUAGACGUUUCUGCGCUUGAUUGCGUGGAGCGGAUUUCGGGACUUUUACUUUGAGGAAAUUAGAGUGUUCACGGCAGGCUAUCGCCAGAAUACAUUAGCAUGGAAUAAUAUUAUAGGAUCUCGGUUCUAUUUUGUUGGUUUCUAGACCCGGGGUAAUGAUUAAUAGGGACAAUUGGGGGCAUUUGUAUCAACACGUCAGAGGUGGAAUUCUUGGAUUGUGUUGCGACAAACUGCUGCGAAAGCAUUUGCCAAGGAUGUUUUCAUUGAUCAAGAACGAAAGUAAGGGGAUCGAAGACGAUUAGAUACCGUCGUAGUCUUUACCAUAAACUAUGCCGACUAGAGAUGGGGCAUCGUUCACUUACGACUUGCUCCGCAUCUUAUGAGAUAUCAAAGUCUUUGGGUUCCGGGGGGAGUAUGGUCGCAAGUCUGAAACUUAAAGGAAUUGACGGAAGGGCACCACCAGGAGUGGAGCCUGCGGCUUAAUUUGACUCAACACGGGGAAACUCACCAGGUCCAGACAUAAUAAGGAUUGACAGAUUGAUAGCUCUUUCUUGAUUUUAUGGGUGGUGGUGCAUGGCCGUUCUUAGUUCGUGGAGUGAUUUGUCUGCUUAAUUGCGUUAACGAACGAGACCUUAACCUGCUAAAUAGGAGCGCAUAUCUUCGGAUAAGCGCCUUUCUUCUUAGAGGGACUGCAUGCGUUUCAGUAUGCGGAAGUUUGAGGCUAAAACAGGUCUGUGAUGCCCA